UUACGGCUAUGUCACGUUGAAACACCAGUUCUUAUAUGAACACCGAAGUUAAGCAACGUUGAGCCUGGUCAGCACCUAGAUAGAUGAGCACUUGGGAAAGCCAGGUGC